CAACUUAAACGAUGAGGCUUUCAAUAGAGACAAGACCCUCAGUUUGUAGGCGGAUGAGUGAUAUGUAAAACAGAGAUCAACUAACAUUCUCGAGAAUUCGCAGUGUCAGCAAAAUGACCACAAGGAGAAUGCAAAACCAAAUUUCAUUCAAAUAAAUAAUAUUGAUUGUUUAAUUUCCAGUUUCUGAAUAACAACUUAUGAUGGAAACAGUGAGUUUAACAUUUGUUCUUGGGAUAAAUGUUUAACUUAAUUUAGAUGUAACUAUGAAAAAAGAAUAUAUUUAUUGUCUUAAAAAUCAUCUUAGAUUUCGGUAAUGCUUACUGAAUGAA